rnacentral:rRNA from 1 species
GAAAGAUCAACUUACUCAAAUAAUUGUAAUAUCUUUUAGAGAAUUUUCUUUUUCUUUAGUAUUUUAUUGAAAUAGUCCUUUGUGUAAUAGUUUAUUAGUACUGUAAAGUAAUGUUGAAAUAAAUUGAAAUAAUUAUUUUAAAAAAAGCAUACUGUUUGUAGUACCUUUUGUAUCAGGGAUGAUUAAUUUUAUUU